UGUGUUCUUGGAUUGGGUUAGCCA
rnacentral:misc_RNA from 1 species